AUACGUAGGGGGCGAGCGUUAUCCGGAAUUACUGGGCGUAAAGGGUGCGUAGGCGGCUUUCUAAGUCAGAUGUGAAAGAGUACGGCUUAACCGUAUUAAGCAUUUGAAACUAGAGAGCUUGAGUGCAGGAGAGGAGAGUGGAAUUCCUAGUGUAGCGGUGAAAUGCGUAGAUAUUAGGAGGAACACCAGUGGCGAAGGCGACUCUCUGGACUGUAACUGACGCUGAGGCACGAAAGCGUGGGGAGCAAACAGGAUUAGAUACCCUGGUAGUCCACGCCGUAAACGAUGAGUGCUAGGUGUUGGUGGGGACACCCAUCAGUGCCGCAGCUAACGCAUUAAGCACUCCGCCUGGGGAGUACGGUCGCAAGACUGAA
rnacentral:rRNA from 1 species